GUGAGCGUACUAGUCAGCAUCAUCGAGAAAACCCCAGAAAGUGACAAAUACUUCAGAAUUAAAGCAGGUAAGACACUCAAGUUUUGAAUAUUUUCUUACAAGUUAGUUAUUCUAAGUAAUUCGGGCAGGCUCAAAGGUUCGUGUUAUAUCAGCAUUAGAGUGAAACCAACUAUAUGAAUAACUCUACUAUGCUGUACCUAAGGAGUUGUCACCAAGAUAGAAAGUUUCCUCUCAAACAAUAAACUUUCAAUAGGCCGUCAGACACACAAUACAGCGCCACAGAAUAGGCCGUUGGUGUGGUAAAAUGAAGUUUUAACACCCCCCCCCCCCGCCGCCGUCGUCUCGCCGUCGUCGUCGUCGCCAUUUUAGUUGAGCAGAAAAUUAGUUGCAAAUGACCCAGCGUCUUUCGCCGCCGCCGCCAUCUUAGUUGAGCAGAGAAUUAGUUGCAAAUGGAACCAGUGUCUUUCCAUAUACAGAAAGUAACUGCAAAAAGACGAUGUAAAAUACCAAGCAAUUUACAGAUAAAGUGGGUUGAACGAAAUAUUAUACUGUGAACCAUUAUCAACACAAAAGUUAAAAUUAAAUAAUAAAUGAAUAAAAAACAAUAAUAAAGGUUAAAUGUGUGGAUCACCAAAACCUAUGCAUUUUGGGCUGAAAACCCCCCCACUUAUAUGAGGAGAGAUGCAUAUUUUCUGUUUGUUAAGCUUUCUACUAUUUUAUGGGGACAUUUUGAUGAUUUUUUUUGUGGCAACAUACAUUGUCACUGUCAUCAACCUUUGCGAUUUGUAACCACACUCGCUCAUCGUUUAUUGAUCCCAAAUAUCCUUAUUGGCAAAGCCGAAUUAGUGGUGAUUGAAACUUUGACUUUUCAAACGUCAAACCAGUUAUUGGCCCUGGCUUAUAAAAACACACUAGUGAUGCAUUCUCAGCAUGAAUCUUAACCUUAUCAUACUCAUAUCAACUUAGUGAUUAGACGUUAAUCGGCAAAUUAGUGGAUGAAUGUUGAUGUUGAUUUUCUGAAAUAUCGAUUGCUGGUAUUGGCAGCCUCCACGAUAACAUUAAAAUAAUGCCAGUAUCAGCCUGAUACCAUUAUUUGGUUUCGGCACUUACCUAUCUUUGCCAAGCACUGGAAAUGAGUGAUAUAGACAUUUUUAAAAAUUAUAAUAAGUCGACUUUUAAUUGAUUACCCGGUCAGUUUCAAAUGCUGUAUUUGCCCAUAUUAAACAAAAUAAGUUAUUUCUAUAAGGUAUUUCUGUUUUGCCAUGUUAAUGUGUUCGAUUAAUAUUUUAUCCCACAGAACUAUCUUGUCAUGUAAGCCUGAAUUAUCAGUACUAUUCUCUAACAUCAUUAAUUGCAAUGGUAUUUUCUGAUCUUUUUUUUUUUUAAAUAACAGAUGGACAAUCCCACUGAAGAUGGUGAUUAUUCUGACUCAAGUCUUUUUGGAUCAGAUGAGGAAUACAAACCAACUAAGACAUCCUCUGAGUCGAGUGAUGACGAGGAGAUAUUCCAUCCAAAGGUAGAAAAAUUGUUCUUAUGAUACAUCCAGUGAAGACUCUACAAGUCAUCAGACAUAUGAAGCAGAGGAGCACAGUCAUGUCUGCAAUUCGUAAAGAAGCCCCAAAAAGGGAAAAGCAUCUCUCCAAAAGAGGGAAGACUGAAUUGGAUGAUUCGAGUCCAGGCGGGGACCCUGGCGGUCCGAUCCUUGGCUGCAGAAGCUAGCUCUUGGGACAUGGAAUGUCACCUCUCUGGCAGGGAAGGAGCCCGAGCUGGUGUGUGAGGCAGAGAAUUUCCGACUGGAUAUAGUCGGACUUGCCUCCACACACAGCCUGGGUUCUGGUACCAGUUCUCUCGAGAGGGGUUGGACUCUCUUCCACUCUGGAGUUGCUCACGGUGAGAGGCGCAGAGCAGGUGUGGGCAUGCUCAUUGCCCCCCGGCUCAGUGCCUGUAAAUUGGGGUUCACACCGGUGGACGAGAGGGUUGCAUCCCUUCGCCUGCGGGUGGGGGGACGGGUCCUGACUGUUGUUUGUGCAUAUGCACCAAACAGCAGCUCAGCAUACCCACCCUUUUUGGAGUCCUUGGAGGGUGUGCUGGAGAGUACUCCUGCUGGGGACUCCCUUGUUCUACUGGGGGACUUCAAUGCUCACGUGGGCAAUGACAGUGAGACCUGGAGGGGCGUGAUUGGGAGGAACGGCCCCCCGAUCAGAACUCGAGUGGUGUUUUGUUAUUGGACUUCUG